rnacentral:rRNA from 1 species
GACGAACGCUGGCGGCGUGCCUAAUACAUGCAAGUCGAGCGGACAGAUGGGAACUUGCUCCCGGAAGUCAGCGGCGGACGGGUGAGUAACACGUGGGCAACCUGCCUGUAAGACUGGGAUAACUUCGGGAAACCGGAGCUAAUACCGGAUACGUUCUUUUCUCGCAUGAGGGAAGAUGGAAAGAUGGUUUCGGCUAUCCCUUACAGAUGGGCCCGCGGCGCAUUAGCUAGUUGGUGAGGUAAUGGCUCACCAAGGCGACGAUGCGUAGCCGACCUGAGAGGGUGAUCGGCCACACUGGGACUGAGACACGGCCCAGACUCCUACGGGAGGCAGCAGUAGGGAAUCUUCCGCAAUGGACGAAAGUCUGACGGAGCAACGCCGCGUGAACGAUGAAGGCCUUCGGGUCGUAAAGUUCUGUUGUUAGGGAAGAACAAGUACCAGAGUAACUGCUGGUACCUUGACGGUACCUAACCAGAAAGCCACGGCUAACUACGUGCCAGCCGCCGCGGUAA